CAAUCAAACCGGGAGAUAGCUGGUUCUCCCCGAAAGCUAUUUAGGUAGCGCCUCGUGAAUUCAUCUCCGGGGGUAGAGCACUGUUUCGGCAAGGGGGUCAUCCCGACUUACCAACCCGAUGCAAACUGCGAAUACCGGAGAAUGUUAUCACGGGAGACACACGGCGGGUGCUAACGUCCGUCGUGAAGAGGGAAACAACCCAGACCGCCAGCUAAGGUCCCAAAGUCAUGGUUAAGUGGGAAACGAUGUGGGAAGGCCCAGACAGCCAGGAUGUUGGCUUAGAAGCAGCCAUCAUUUAAAGAAAGCGUAAUAGCUCACUGGUCGAGUCGGCCUGCGCGGAAGAUGUAACGGGGCUAAACCAUGCACCGAAGCUGCGGCAGCGACGCUUAUGCGUUGUUGGGUAGGGGAGCGUUCUGUAAGCCUGCGAAGGUGUGCUGUGAGGCAUGCUGGAGGUAUCAGAAGUGCGAAUGCUGACAUAAGUAACGAUAAAGCGGGUGAAAAGCCCGCUCGCCGGAAGACCAAGGGUUCCUGUCCAACGUUAAUCGGGGCAGGGUGAGUCGACCCCUAAGGCGAGGCCGAAAGGCGUAGUCGAUGGGAAACAGGUUAAUAUUCCUGUACUUGGUGUUACUGCGAAGGGGGGACGGAGAAGGCUAUGUUGGCCGGGCGACGGUUGUCCCGGUUUAAGCGUGUAGGCUGGUUUUCCAGGCAAAUCCGGAAAAUCAAGGCUGAGGCGUGAUGACGAGGCACUACGGUGCUGAAGCAACAAAUGCCCUGCUUCCAGGAAAAGCCUCUAAGCAUCAGGUAACAUCAAAUCGUACCCCAAACCGACACAGGUGGUCAGGUAGAGAAUACCAAGGCGCUUGAGAGAACUCGGGUGAAGGAACUAGGCAAAAUGGUGCCGUAACUUCGGGAGAAGGCACGCUGAUAUGUAGGUGAAGUCCCUCGCGGAUGGAGCUGAAAUCAGUCGAAGAUACCAGCUGGCUGCAACUGUUUAUUAAAAACACAGCACUGUGCAAACACGAAAGUGGACGUAUACGGUGUGACGCCUGCCCGGUGCCGGAAGGUUAAUUGAUGGGGUCAGCGCAAGCGAAGCUCUUGAUCGAAGCCCCGGUAAACGGCGGCCGUAACUAUAACGGUCCUAAGGUAGCGAAAUUCCUUGUCGGGUAAGUUCCGACCUGCACGAAUGGCGUAAUGAUGGCCAGGCUGUCUCCACCCGAGACUCAGUGAAAUUGAACUCGCUGUGAAGAUGCAGUGUACCCGCGGCAAGACGGAAAGACCCCGUGAACCUUUACUAUAGCUUGACACUGAACAUUGAGCCUUGAUGUGUAGGAUAGGUGGGAGGCUUUGAAGUGUGGACGCCAGUCUGCAUGGAGCCGACCUUGAAAUACCACCCUUUAAUGUUUGAUGUUCUAACGUUGACCCGUAAUCCGGGUUGCGGACAGUGUCUGGUGGGUAGUUUGACUGGGGCGGUCUCCUCCUAAAGAGUAACGGAGGAGCACGAAGGUUGGCUAAUCCUGGUCGGACAUCAGGAGGUUAGUGCAAUGGCAUAAGCCAGCUUGACUGCGAGCGUGACGGCGCGAGCAGGUGCGAAAGCAGGUCAUAGUGAUCCGGUGGUUCUGAAUGGAAGGGCCAUCGCUCAACGGAUAAAAGGUACUCCGGGGAUAACAGGCUGAUACCGCCCAAGAGUUCAUAUCGACGGCGGUGUUUGGCACCUCGAUGUCGGCUCAUCACAUCCUGGGGCUGAAGUAGGUCCCAAGGGUAUGGCUGUUCGCCAUUUAAAGUGGUACGCGAGCUGGGUUUAGAACGUCGUGAGACAGUUCGGUCCCUAUCUGCCGUGGGCGCUGGAGAACUGAGGGGGGCUGCUCCUAGUACGAGAGGACCGGAGUGGACGCAUCACUGGUGUUCGGGUUGUCAUGCCAAU
rnacentral:rRNA from 1 species